rnacentral:tRNA from 1 species
GCCGGGAUAGCUUAGUGGUAGAGCGCCAGUCUUGUAAACUGGAGGUCGCCGGUUCAAUCCCGGUUUCCGGCA